GUUAUUUUCAGGAUCAAGCAGCCACAGACGUUGCCUGUGCUGCACUUAAUGGCUUAAAAAUAGGGGAUAAAACACUCACAGUCAGACGUGCAACCAUCAGCGGGCAGAUGAAAUCUGAACAGGAGACCAUUAUGGCCCAAGCUCAACAACAUAUAGCUAUGCAGGGUUUUUUGAGGGCAGUGAGAGUAAUUCUUGUCCAGAUUGUGUUUGUGUUCUAAUGAAAUCGGGCAGGCUGAAUCUCAACGGGCAGAUUUGUUUGAGUAUCAAAACUUUUUUGUAAGUGAUUAAUUAAUCUUUCCUUUUUUAUUUAAUAAAAAACGGGUUGUGAUGAUGAACAUGAACAUAUAGAUGAUGAAGAAGAAGCAGACAUCAGUCAGAUCUUUGAAGAAGCUCAUCAAUUUAUUGAAGUUGUUGAACAAAAAGGUGUCUGAGCUGGAAUCUCAAAUCGAGGUUGGAUAAUGAUGAAUUGAGCCCUGAACAAGUCAAUGAUGUUAAGGACUUCAUUGGUGACUAUGUGGAACGAAAUCAGGUCAUCAUAUACUUUUUUCCUUUUCACAUUUUCUCAAUAGUUUCUUUGAGGUUCUCUCCAUUAUACCACCUUGUCAAAUUCAGGAUAAAAGAAUCUUGUGGUUUUCACUUUUCACAAAGCAUCUAACAGUAAAACCACCACAAACCAUUUCAUCUGUAGGAGGAUUUUGAUGAGUUUGAGGAUGUUGAUAUGUUAUAUAUACAACACCUUAUCAUUAGACAAAGUAGAAGCUCUAGAAGAUCUUGUUAUCAUGCAACCCUUGGUCAUGUGUUUGUAUAUCAUUGGUCAUGUGUUUGGGUGAAGGUCUGGAUGGUGGUCUGAAUGGUGCAUGUCUCAAAGUGUGUAUUCCAAUAUCAAGUUAAUUUACUUGUAUUAAUUCAU